GUGGUAGCUCAGUUGGUAAAGCGUCAGGCUCGCAAUCUAAGGGUCGCAGGUUUGAUACUCAGUCAGACCAGCCAGGAUCG